rnacentral:rRNA from 1 species
UACGGGGGGGGCAAGCGUUGUUCGGAAUUACUGGGCGUAAAGGGCUCGUAGGCGGCCAACUAAGUCAGACGUGAAAUCCCCAGGCUCAACCUGGGAACUGCGUCUGAUACUGGAUGGCUUGAAUCCGGGAGAGGGAUGCAGAAUUCCAGGUGUAGCGGUGAAAUGCGUAGAUAUCGGGAGGAACACCUGAGGCGAAGGCGGGCUACUGGGCCGAUACUGACGCUGAUGCGCGAAAGCCAGGGGAGCGAACGGG